AGCGGUGUAGCUCAGCCAGGCAGAGCAAACGGCUCAUAAUCGUUGUGUCGCGGGUUCAAAUCCCGCCACCGCUA
rnacentral:tRNA from 1 species